rnacentral:lncRNA from 1 species
UGCGUCUCCAUUAAAGAUCCAAGAGGACAACUUGUACUUCUAGCUAAUGUAAUUGGGUACCUCCAGCAGGAAAGUGCCUGGAAUGGAAAGAGCAAGGAGAUUCAAUUCGAGGCUUGAAGUUUUAAAAGACCUCAAGAGGGAAAAAGAGAGUUCAGUGAAGGCAGAUGCUUUCCUGAGAGAAAGGGAAAAGCUUUGAAGGAGGAUGAUGCUAUAUUUUGGUUGAUGUUAACAGGGUAAAGUGAGCCUCUUUGGAAGUUGUAAGUCUAAACCACUGUGUAAAGGAGCCAAAAAAAGCUCUUACAGAGCCCAAUUUACUCCUAAAAGGUAGUGAUGAAAUGCUGGAGACAUCCUGCAUCGUUCAAGUCAAUUGUUCCUUAAAUGGGAGCAAAGUUUGGCCAGCUGGCAGGAAUCUCUUUCUCCUUUCAAUUCAUUCAUUCUUCUCCAGAAACCCCUGCAGACAAUGUCACCAAAGUCACCAUGUUUCCCUAUCCCCUCCUGAUUAGUAACGCAUUAAGGUAAAUUGCCUAUAUUUGCCAUCCACAGUCAUUUAUCCAUGCUGGACCCAGUACUUUCUCCCAGAGAAAUGAGGUCUCUCUCCUUCAAGCUAUUUAUUUUUAUUUUUUAUUUUAUUUUAUUUUAUUUUAUUUAUUCAAGCCAUUAUUUUUUCUGUAGUAUAGCCAUCUGUUUUCAGCCGGAGAAGAGCAUCAGAUUGAGUUGAAAAUUUGAGACGUACCUCAGUUAAAUUCAGUGAUGUUGGAAUCAGGAGGAGGUAAAGUGAAGAUAAAAAGGUUUGAACAGUCUAUUUUGUAUACUAUUAUACAUGAAUCAGCACACAAUCUACUGACUAAUUUACCCCAGCAAAUGACAACCUGCGAGACCUCAGCAGCAGAGGAAUUGCCAAGAGAUGCCUUUCACAGCAGUCAUAAGGCUAUUCCAGUCUACAGUGGAAAGCCACCUUUUCAAUAAAACUGGUAAUGAUUUUCUUUCAAUGCCAGGCUGGCAAGAUCUACAGAAAGGAUAGAUUUAUUUAUUUAUUUAUUUCAGUGUUGCAAGGACCUGAUUAUCUGAUCUUAACUGCAAUCAUUCUGGGACCUUGCACAGGGCUCGUUCCAUAUUCCUGAGAGAGUGUGGGAAGUUGUUGUUGACUUUGGUGGAAAAUGAGGAGCCUUUUUACACCGUCUGAGGAUUAUACUCAUAAAUACAUUUUUUUCUACCUUUGUUUUUUAUUACUUAAAUAGAUUUGGUGUUUCCCUACAGAGGUGAUAGGUACUACAGAGACAAAGCACAUGUCAUAAAAAUUCAGUACCAAAAAAAAAAAAGACAACUCUGUAAUAUAAUCAGCAAUAAGGUCCUUAAUUAUUGUUAUUGAACCUUGAAGUUAUAAUAGGUCUUCUUUUGUUUUCUGCAUUCCCUUCAACAGUUUCAACAUUCUCCUUCGGCAAUUCUUUUCUGUGCAGUAUCUAACAACAAAUAAUUACACAAGUCUGUCAAAAAAUAAAAAUAAAAUAAAUCCUGAGAUGCUAUACCA